UGGGAAUCUUGCGCAAUGGACGAAAGUCUGACGCAGCGACGCCGCGUGGGUGAUGAAGGCCUUCGGGUUGUAAAGCCCUGUGGGGAGAGAAGAAUAAAGCGUGGCUAAUAUCCACGCCGAUGACGGUAUCUCCUUAGCAAGCACCGGCUAACUCUGUGCCAGCAGCCGCGGUAAGACAGAGGGUGCAAACGUUGUUCGGAAUUACUGGGCGUAAAGCGUGUGUAGGCGGUUCUGUAAGUCGGAUGUGAAA
rnacentral:rRNA from 1 species